CUAUUCUCUAAUAAUAUGCAUAACUCGCUCGAGAAUAACAGAGCCGCAAGGACAAGUUUGAUAGUAAACUAAGUACUAUGUGUGAAAGAAUACCUAGAUAUUCUAAGCAAAGCUAUAAGUGUUAGAAUUAUUAUCGUGAAUGCAAACGAUAUCCAUAUCCUAUAUUUAAUGGACAAAGUAGACAUUUUUGAAGCUAAAUUCUUUUGUUUAUCAAAGUCUAGUUGCUUUUCAUCCUCCAAUUUUAUAUUUCCUACGCGAGAAAAGUCUGUAAUGUUUGCUACUGAUUGUUUUAGAGCUUCUAAGCUUUUUCUGUAUGCUUUCAACUUAACUGUUAAUGAACUAUCUGCUGGCUUACUUUUAUUUGGUACACAUUUUUUGUAGAGAAAUUCAACUCUUUUCACGUUACUAGGAUUCUCCGAAUUAUCUGAUGAUGCUGAAUCCCCUUCAUUCAUGCAAAUCGAGUUUAAUUGAAAUUUACCAGCACAAUGUGUUGAUUGUCUAUUUUGAUACUCCAAACUUGAGUUAUAUUUGUGAUGUGUGC
rnacentral:antisense_RNA from 1 species